AUUGAACGCUGGCGGCAGGCCUAACACAUGCAAGUCGAGCGAGCGGCGGACGGGUGAGUAAUGUCUGGGGAACUGCCUGAUGGAGGGGGAUAACUACUGGAAACGGUAGCUAAUACCGCAUACCAUCGGAUGUACCCAGAUGGGAUUAGCUUGUAGGUGAGGUAACGGCUUACCUAGGCGACGAUCCCUAGCUGGUCUGAGAGGAUGAUCAGCCACACUGGAACUGAGACACGGUCCAGACUCCUACGGGAGGCAGCAGUGGGGAAUAUUGCACAAUGGGCGCAAGCCUGAUGCAGCCAUGCCGCGUGUAUGAAGAAGGCCUUCGGGUUGUAAAGUACUUUCAGGCGGGAGGCGUUACUGACAGAAGAAGCACCGGCUAACUCCGUGCCAGCAGCCGCGGGAAUAC
rnacentral:rRNA from 1 species